rnacentral:rRNA from 1 species
AGAGUUUGAUCCUGGCUCAGGACGAUUUCUGGCGGCGUGCCUAACACAUGCAAGUCGAACGGAACUUUUUUAAAGGAUUUCUUCGGAAUGAAUUUGAUUAAGUUUAGUGGCGGACGGGUGAGUAACGCGUGAGUAACCUGCCUCUAAGAGGGGAAUAACAUUCUGAAAAGAAUGCUAAUACCGCAUAAUAUAUAUUUAUCGCAUGGUAGAUAUAUCAAAGAUUUAUCGCUUAGAGAUGGACUCGCGUCCGAUUAGUUAGUUGGUGAGGUAACGGCUCACCAAGACCGCGAUCGGUAGCCGGACUGAGAGGUUGAACGGCCACAUUGGGACUGAGACCCGGCCCAGACUCCUACGGGAGGCAGCAGUGGGGGAUAUUGCGCAAUGGGGGAAACCCUGACGCAGCAACGCCGCGUGAAGGAUGAAGGUCUUCGGAUUGUAAACUUCUUUUAUUAAGGACGAAGAAAGUGACGGUACUUAAUGAAUAAGCUCCGGCUAACUACGUGCCAGCAGCCGCGGUAAUACGUAGGGAGCAAGCGUUGUCCGGAUUUACUGGGUGUAAAGGGUGCGUAGGCGGCUUUGCAAGUCAGAUGUGAAAUCUAUGGGCUCAACCCAUAGCCUGCAUUUGAAACUGCAGAGCUUGAGUGAAGUAGAGGCAGGCGGAAUUCCCCGUGUAGCGGUGAAAUGCGUAGAGAUGGGGAGGAACACCAGUGGCGAAGGCGGCCUGCUGGGCUUUAACUGACGCUGAGGCACGAAAGCGUGGGUAGCAAACAGGAUUAGAUACCCUGGUAGUCCACGCUGUAAACGAUGAUU